rnacentral:misc_RNA from 1 species
CCGAGUGAGGGUGCGCAAGCGCCCGACCUCCCAACCCCAUGUCCGACGUUAUCGAAUUGCCUCGGGGGGCGACCCGGCCCCGGCCGGCGACCCCCCGGCGUAUCACUUCAAAACACUGCAUCCCUGCGUCGGAGUAUUGAAGCAAAUCAAUUA